rnacentral:piRNA from 1 species
UUUCAAACAUUUGAAUCUAUGGGAGCCAU